AGAGUUUGAUCAUGGCUCAGAUUGAACGCUGGCGGCAUGCCUUACACAUGCAAGUCGAACGGCAGCACGGGAGCAAUCCUGGUGGCGAGUGGCGAACGGGUGAGUAAAGUAUCGGAACGUGCCCAGUCGUGGGGGAUAACGUAGCGAAAGCUACGCUAAUACCGCAUACGAUCUAUGGAUGAAAGCGGGGGAUCGCAAGACCUCGCGCGAUUGGAGCGGCCGAUAUCAGAUUAGGUAGUUGGUGGGGUAAAGGCCUACCAAGCCGACGAUCUGUAGCUGGUCUGAGAGGACGACCAGCCACACUGGGACUGAGACACGGCCCAGACUCCUACGGGAGGCAGCAGUGGGGAAUUUUGGACAAUGGGCGCAAGCCUGAUCCAGUAAUGCCGCGUGCAGGAUGAAGGCCUUCGGGUUGUAAACUGCUUUUGUACGGAGCGAAAAGGCUUCCACUAAUACUGGAGGCUCAUGACGGUACCGUAAGAAUAAGCACCGGCUAACUACGUGCCAGCAGCCGCGGUAAUACGUAGGGUGCAAGCGUUAAUCGGAAUUACUGGGCGUAAAGCGUGCGCAGGCGGUCUUGUAAGACAGGUGUGAAAUCCCCGGGCUUAACCUGGGAACUGCACUUGUGACUGCAAGGCUGGAGUACGGCAGAGGGGGAUGGAAUUCCGCGUGUAGCAGU
rnacentral:rRNA from 1 species